rnacentral:rRNA from 1 species
UACGGAGGGUGCAAGCGUUGUUCGGGAUCAUUGGGUACGUAAGCGCGUGUGAGGCGGCUUGGCAAGUCGGUUGUGAAACCCCGGGGCUCAACCCCGGAACUGCAUCCGAUACUGCGUGGCUAGAGGUAGGUAGGGGAGAUCGGAAUUCCUGGUGUAGCGGUGAAAUGCGCAGAUAUCAGGAGGAACACCGGUGGCGAAGGCGGAUCUCUGGGCCUUACCUGACGCUGAGGCGCGAAAGCUAGGGGAGCAAACAGG